AAGAACUCGUGCUCGGGUGACUGACCAACUAAUGGAACAAGCUUUGGAGUGUUGGCUCAUUAAGGACAUUUUAGUCAUUUUGUAAUAAGUUGUAACCUAGGCUAUAAAUAGAACAUAUUAGGUCAUUUUCUCAUAACUUUGAUGAUAUUUUGAGAGCUCUAGAGAGAGAGUCUUGCAAGGUGGAUUCAAGUGUGGAUAUCACUUGUGUUGGUUCUAGUUUUGAAAUGUUGGUUGCUUGGGGAUCCCGUUCCCUUGAGGUCACUGUAGAGCUUGGUGUUACUUGUAUGAAUUCUUGGGUAUUUGUGUUUAAUAUACAUUAGGUUCAUAGUGUUUGUACAUUUGUAUGUCAAGUUACCUAUCUAUCUAUCUAUUUCAUUGUUGUUGUUGUUCAUUCUCGGGUUUGGUGUCCCAAAACCGAGACUGUGUUCUUCUUGUUUUUGUGCUUGUGUUGUUAAUCUAGUUUGUUGGCUCGCUGAUUUUUGAGGUGUUGAACACCUUAAUAUCUUGUUGUUAUUGUGUUUUUGUUGUUGUUGUAGUGAAUCCGAGAGUGGUCAUCAAAGGGGUCCUUGGUUCUUCCAACUUGUGGACUGUUUUGGUGUUUGUUUUGUGCCUCCUUUGUCGAUCUUGUAUCAUUUGGUAUCAGAGCAUGGCUUUAUUUUGUUUUAACAAGAUCAAUCUUGGGCUAGCUAGCUUAAAAAUACAAAACAAAAAAGGAAAGUGUAGAAGUUGUUCUUGUUCUUGGCCGAGACAUAUUUCUUUGUGGCUAGAUCUUGUAGUCUUUUGUUUGUUUAGAUUGUUUCUAGUGUUGGUUUCUUUCUCACCAACACUAAAGUGUCUAGAUCUAAAGGUUUGAGCUUAUGUUGUUGACCUUGUUAAUGUAAAUUGGAAGUUGGUUGUGUGUUGAUAUUGUUGAUCUUCGCCGUGUGUUGCAAUUGUUGUGAACUUGGAGGUGAAUGUUGGUGGUGUUCUUGAGAAAUUGUUGUUGAGAUCUUGUUGUUCUUCACAUCUUGACAUCUCUUAAUCAAUAUAAAGUAUAAUAUAGAUCCAAAAAAGGUGUAAGAUAAAGUUGAAAAGUUGUUGGUGAAGAGACUUGAACACAUCACUUCAAAGACUUGUCAACCACUUUUCCAUAUUUCAAGGACCUUGUUUUGUGGGAAUAGUAAAGUCAGUUCUCACUUUUUGAGUUGGAAUUUGAAAAAGUUUUGAAGAAUUGAAUUUUUCCACCAAAAGACAAACUCAUCCAUUCCACUUGUAUCAAAACAAAAGCUUCAAAUUGGUGAUUAAAAAAAAAAAUUGUGUGGGACCGUGACCAAUUACGUGGCUGCCACGUCAUCACAUUUUACUGUUCACGCAACAUAAGUAAGCUCGAAUUUUUUUAUUUCUUAGUUUCUAAUCUUUGUUUCUUAGUUGCAUUUUGUUGAUUCUAUUGCUAAUUAACAAACUAGUAAUUGUCUACUAGGUUGUAAAUUAGUUUUGGGUCAGUUUAUUCGUGUCUGUGUUUCUUUGUGUGCUUUUAUCUUUUUGAAAACUCGUUGUAGCGUUUUGAUUCAAGUACGUACAAAUUUAUUUUGAGUCGUUGCAAACAAAAAUCCAUUCCGACCUUAAGCCGCAAAUGGGACCAAGUAACUUCAUUGGAGUAGAAACAGUGUACCAACACUUGUGAGACCAAUUGAGUGAUACUUGAAAAAGUGUGAGCUUGAGAGUUAGUGAGGGUGAUUUUUGCUAACCUUAACUUGUUAUUGUUUGUGUUUUGUUUAGUAUUUCUUAUUAGGUACGAUGGCUUCGAUUGAAGGUAGUCCAAGAGCCUCGAGAGAGGUAACCAUAGAUGCUUUGUUGGCGGCCAUAAUGGCGUGAAACAUGAUCUUAGUGGUCGAAUGGAGAGGAUGGAGGGAAGGAUGGACGGGAUGGAGGGUUCCUUUUCAAGGAGAAUGGAUACAUUGGAAGUUCGUUUAGAUUCCAACCAUCCAAGUCCGAAACACUACCACGCCUCGACUAGUGGACAUUCUACCACCACGGAUACAUUUCCCCAAUUGCUCAAUCCACCUAGAGCAACCCAUGAACCCAUCCACUAAGUCCCUACUUAUCCAAAAAAAUCGAAGUCAAGUCCAUCAAGAAGCUUCCCAAAUUCGAGACCCCCUUGAUAUGCCGAGAGCACCACUAAACCAAAACCAACCAAUCCAAAUUGAUGAUGUGGAAAGUGAGGGUCUUUAUGGAGGUGAGAGGUUAGAUGAAGCAACUCUCUUUGCGGAAUUUGUGCGCAAUAGAAGAAGAGCUUAUGGUGGGGGACAUAGAGGCCGAGAGGGAAGAGUUGGACCGGCUACUCAUGGUAGGGGCAACUUGGGACACCGACCUCAUGUUCAAGAAGGUCUAGUAGACCAAGGAGGCAAUGUGGGUAGAAACACGGGCCUAAAUUCCAUUAAGAUCACUCUUCCUUCUUUCAAAGGGACUAGUGCUCCAUCUCUCUAUCUUGAUUGGGAGUUACAAUGUAAUCGGAUUUUCCAACUCAACGAGUUAACUUCCCAAAAGAAAGCCGCACAUGCCAUUGCUCAAUUUGAAGGUUAUGCAUCUACUUGGUGGGAGACAACGCGAUUGCAACAGGCAAGGAAUGACAAUCUUGACCUUCCGGAUUGAGAUGAAUUGAAAGCUCUUAUGAGGGAGAGAUAUGUCACGGAAAGGUACAAACAAGAGCAACUAACCAAGCUCUACAACUUGAGGCAAGGAAAUAGAAGUGUGGAGGAGUAUUAUGAUGAGUUUCAAAACUUGAUCCUACGUCUUGACAUAGUCGAACCUCCAAAUCAUUGCCUAGCUCGGGUCAAGGGUGGCUUGUGCUAUGAAAUUGUUUCUCAAUUAGUUGUCCACAAGUUUGACCGAAUUGAGGACCUUGUAGAAGCGGCCAUUGAAGUUGAAAGGAACAAUCAUGCUAAGAAGACCGUCAGGUGGGACAAGUCCUACAAGCCCUUAGAGAAGAAGCCAUUUGAUAAAACAAUCCAAAGGUAUCCACGGCUUGAAGGUACUAAUUCUUCCACUCCUAAUCCUAAGGGUAUCGUUUGUUUUAAAUGUCAAGGUUGGGGUCACAAAGCUAGCUAGUGCCCAAACCGAAGGAACAUUGUACUAGUGGAGGGUGCUCCUUAUUUUGUUGGGGAUAAAGUGACCAAAAAUGAUGUUAGUGAAGGAACCCCUCAAGAGGAUGAUGGAGAUGAUGGUGAACCCGAGAGGGUGGUGGAAGAAGGGGAAGUUAAUGUGUCUUGCGGAUUGAUGAGCAGAACAACUCAUGAUGAUGCUUGGCCCGAAGAAGGUGAGGUCUUGAUUCCACUUUGACCUCUUGAUGAUGAAGAACCCGAGAGUACACUAUGGUCCUUGCUCCAAGGAAGUACACUUUUCUUUUUGUCUUGUUUCUUGUCACACUUAGGUGGAUAGACAAGUAUUUCUUUUGGUGCUUAGAAGGGUAUCUUAUUCCCUAAGUUCCCACGGCAUGUGUAGAAUGUACACUCGUGGUUUGAUAUUUUUUUGUUGAUUAUGCUAACUUUAACCCUCAUGUCAUGAGGAAUAUGUGUUCUUUUGUCUCCUUUAUUGUUUUGAAGGUUUGGAUUCCAGGUCGAAUCCUUUUUCAAGAAGGGGAGGAUGAUACGAGUACGAUCGUGAUUGUGGAUCAAUACGUUAAGAACUCGUGCUUGGGUGACUGGCCAACUAAUGGAACAAGCUUUGGAGUGUUGGCUCAUUAAGGACAUUUUAGUCAUUUUGUAAUAAGUUGUAACCUAGGCUAUAAAUAGAACAUAUUAGGUCAUUUUCUCAUAACUUUGAUGAUAUUUUGAGAGCUCUAGAGAGAGAGUCUUGCAAGGUGGAUUCAAGUGUGGAUAUCACUUGUGUUGGUUCUAGUUUUGAAACGUUGGUUGCUUGGGGAUCCCGUUCCCUUGAGGUCACCGUAGAGCUUGGUGGUACUUGUAUGAAUUCUUGGGUAUUUGUGUUUAAUAUACAUUAGGUUCAUAGUGUUUGUACAUUUGUAUGUCAAGUUACCUAUCUAUCUAUCUAUUUCAUUGUUGUUGUUGUUCAUUCUCGGGUUUGGUGUCCCAAAACCGUGACUUUGUGUUCUUCUUGUUCUUGUGCUUGUGUUGUUAAUCUAGUUUGUUGGCUCGCUGAUUUUUGAGGUGUUGAACGCCUUAAUAUCUUGUUAUUGUGUUUUUGUUGUUGUUGUAGUGAAUCCGAGAGUGGUCACCAAAGGGUCCUUGGUUCUUCCAACUUGUGGACUGUUUUGGUGUUUGUUUUGUGCCUCCUUUGUCGAUCUUGUAUCAUUUGACCUCAAUUGUAACAAAAUUCACACUGUUUGGAACAG
rnacentral:lncRNA from 1 species